rnacentral:RNase_P_RNA from 1 species
AGCCGGAUAAUCGCGCCUUUAUAGGUGAGGAAAGUCCGUGCAUCCAAGGACAGAUUGCCGGAGAAACUCCGGACGGCGUGAGCCGGUGGAUCGGACCACAGAAAGGGUAAAUAUUAGGACAACCUGAUAUUGUAAAACCAAAAGACUGCCGAUGGAUAAAGACCACAAUUCCAUAUAGGAUGCGUGGAGAGUUAUCACAGGCGAUGGUGCAAAGGUGAGGUAAGAGCUCACCGGCGGUAUCGAGAGGUAUCGGCCGGGCAACCCCCAAUCGGAUGCAAGAUUGAUACAAGCGUUUGAGGUGUCCGCCAAGCUUGAAAAAUCGCUCGAGAUUAGGAGUAAUCCUAAUACAAGAUAGAUGAUUAUCGGGGUAAUUCUACCCCCUGCCGAUUGAGCAAAACAAAGUUUUGAAUGUCGACAGAGAAACAGAACACGGCUUAUGAACUGCUUU